GAAAAACAUCCAAACAGUUCAGGCUUUAAGAUGGUGCAAUCUGAGAAUCAGGCCAAGAUGGGCACCCUGAAGAGCCGGCGAAACUGGCUCGCUGAGACCGGGAUGGUCGACGCCCUGCAGCUCUUCCGCCUGCUGGUGCGGGCCCGCCUCUCGCUCGAGUUUGAGCAUGUGGUCCUGCGGCGGAAGGUGCCCACCUUCGAGGAAUGCUGGGCCCUCGAGGGGGCGCUCUGCUGAGUCGAGGCAGAGUGCCUGCUCCUUGCCCUGUAACACCCCCGGCUGCUCAAGCUUGCGCGAUGCGUCCAGCGGGCGGAGGCCUUGGACUUUGCUUCACACGGGUCGAGCCCUGAGGCCCCCCAUGGGUGUCCCCACUGGCAGAAAUAGGCACAUUCAUUUGGGCUUGUAGAAGAACUGGUGUGAAAUCCACUGAAUUUUACCCUUUG